UGCUUAACCGGCUGAGCCACCAGGUGCCCCCCUAUCUUUUUCUUAACAAUGCUUCCAAGAAAUUCUUUGCACCCCAAGGUCCCAGAUGUAUUCUCCUACACUCCCUGUUUGAGGGUGUAUCUUUGCUUGCCGCGUUGGUAAUGGAGCUGGGACUAAUAUUUGAGACCACUGUGGGGCAGAGGUCUGAAAUGGACAGGAGCCCCUUCCCUGCUUUUCUCCCAAGGUUAUUGUGAAGGUCAGAGGAUAAGUGUGUGAGAGGGCUCUGAGGACCCUGAAAUAAUGUAUACAUAUGGGUAUCAUCAUGCUAAUCUGUUGGCGGGCGGGGGGGGGGUGGUAAGCCAUUGACAGAAGGCUGCUGCCCUCAAUUUGCUAAUGCAUUGGCAGCACAUUAGACUGCUGCCAAUAGGCCGGCAGAAACCCAGCUGCUGUCCCCCUUCUGAGGCUGGAGGACACAUGUGGCCUUUGCAAGAAAGCAAAUUCCAGUAAAAUGGCCGCGUUGGUCUCCCCCUCCACCCACACUGCCACUGCAUCUGCCACGGUCCAUUACCAAACAAGGUUACAAAUACGGCCUGAGUCAUAGAGAAAAGAUUAAAUUACACGCAGGAAAUCCUGCUCACCAAAGCGCUGGAGUAAUGAGAUUCAGAAAGUCGACUGUCAAAAAGAGCACGAAGCAAGCGUGGGUGCCCACAGGGAGCCUGCUGCACCUCCCUCGCCAUCCGGCCACCCCACCCCAGCUCCUGCUCCACCUGCAGGGGCAACAAGAGCUCCAGACAGGAGUUUUUUAAGAGGCACUGGGACAAAAGGUCUGUUAUGGUUCUUCAAGCAGGAAGGUCCCUGACCCUGAGUUACUCAAGGCAUGAGGUCAGCCAGUCUGAUGCAACCGUUUCUGGUCGGAGGAUGAGCCCCUGCCUGGCACAGCUCACCGGUGCAGUGGCAGGCUCUGAACUGUCAUGCCCUCUGAACUGUCAUGCCCCUGGCUCAAUGGUAGUGUGAGGAGCCCUCUCUCCAGGCCCUGCAACCCCACUGAAGCUCACCUCACCUCUGUGCACCUGUUUUUGUCUCUGGAAAAGGAGUCAAGAAUGCGUCAGAGGGAAAAGAGCAUUUCCCAGACUUGAGCCAGUUUUCCAUCACAGGUGUUUCCAUACCGCGCAUCUCCUGCUCUACUUCCUACUUGAUUUUGCUCUGGGAGACUUUAAGGUAACAGAUGGGCCGCCGAAGACCACACCCACUCUGGGCAGGAGUGCAGUGGCUGUGGGCAUGGGGACCUAUGCCUAGAGCAGUCACUGCCUCCCCUGGAGAGCAAGGGCCGGGCCCCCACUGCUCUGCUGGGAGAGAGGGACCACGCAGGAGACAAGGAGCCCGAGGGCCUCACGUGAAGGGAGAGGUCAGCUCAUCCUGGCAGUCCCGCAGUCAGGGCCGAGCACAUGCCUCCUGACAGUCAGUGCCUGGGAAACAAGGGCUGGUUGCUGAGAGCAGACAAGAGAAUGAAGGCAGGAUCUGCCCUUCAUUAUAGCUCUUGUCUCUAGCGCUGUGUGGCCAGGCAAAGCCCAACUCUAUGAUUCCUGAGAUCGGUGUGGCCUGUCCUAACCAGGACUUAAGUAAGCGCCUGGGGACUGUGGCCCACCUGGGUGGCUCAGUUGGUUCAACAUCUGACUUCAGCUCAGGUCAUGAACUC